GACGAACCGUGCGAACGUUGUUCGGAAUCACUGGGCUUAAAGGGCGCGUAGGCGGGCGGGCAAGUCGGAGGUGAAAUCCCACAGCUUAACUGUGGAAUAGCCCCCGAUACUGCUCGUCUGGAGGGAGAUAGGGGCGUGCGGAACUUCCGGUGGAGCGGUGAAAUGCGUAGAUAUCGGGAGGAACACCAGUGGCGAAGGCGACUACCUGGCCUGUUCUUGACGCUGAGGCGCGAAAGCUAGGGGAGCAAACGGGG
rnacentral:rRNA from 1 species